UACAGAGGUCUCAAGCGUUGUUCGGAUUCAUUGGGCGUAAAGGGUGCGUAGGCGGCGCGGUAAGUCGGGUGUGAAAUCUCGGAGCUUAACUCCGAAACUGCAUUCGAUACUGCCGUGCUUGAGGACUGGAGAGGAGACUGGAAUUUACGGUGUAGCGGUGAAAUGCGUAGAUAUCGGGAGGAACACCAAUGGCGAAGGCAGCUCGCUGGGACGUGACUGACGCUGAGACGCGAAAGCGUGGGGAGCAAACAGG
rnacentral:rRNA from 1 species